rnacentral:rRNA from 1 species
AGUGAACGCUGGCGGUAGGCCUAACACAUGCAAGUCGAACGGCAGCACAGUAAGAGCUUGCUCUUACGGGUGGCGAGUGGCGGACGGGUGAGGAAUACAUCGGAAUCUACUUUUUCGUGGGGGAUAACGUAGGGAAACUUACGCUAAUACCGCAUACGACCUACGGGUGAAAGCAGGGGAUCUUCGGACCUUGCGCGAUUGAAUGAGCCGAUGUCGGAUUAGCUAGUUGGCGGGGUAAAGGCCCACCAAGGCGACGAUCCGUAGCUGGUCUGAGAGGAUGAUCAGCCACACUGGAACUGAGACACGGUCCAGACUCCUACGGGAGGCAGCAGUGGGGAAUAUUGGACAAUGGGCGCAAGCCUGAUGCAGCCAUACCGCGUGGGUGAAGAAGGCCUUCGGGUUGUAAAGCCCUUUUGUUGGGAAAGAAAUGCAGCAGGUUAAUACCCCGCUGUUCUGACGGUACCCAAAGAAUAAGCACCGGCUAACUUCGUG